GUAGUCAUAUGCUUGUCUCAAAGAUUAAGCCAUGCAUGUCUAAGUAUAAGCAAUCAUACUGUGAAGCUGCAAAUGGCUCAUUAAAUCAGUUAUCGUUUAUUUGAUAGUACCUUUACCUGGAUAACCGUGGUAAUUCUAGAGCUAAUACAUGCUAAAAACCCCGACUUCGGAAGGGGUGUAUUUAUUAGAUAAAAAACCAAUGCCCUCUGGGCUCUUUGGUGAUUCAUAAUAACUUAACGAAUCGCAUGGCCUUGCGCCGGCGAUGGUUCAUUCAAAUUUCUGCCCUAUCAACUUUCGAUUGUAAGAUAGAGGCUUACAAUGGUAUUAACGGGUAACGGGGAAUUAGGGUUCUAUUCCGGAGAGGGAGCCUGAGAAACGGCUACCACAUCCAAGGAAGGCAGCAGGCGCGCAAAUUACCCAAUGCUAAUUCAGCGAGGUAGUGACAAUAAAUACUGAUACGGGGCUCUUUCGGGUCUCGUAAUUGGAAUGAGUACAAUCUAAAUCCCUUAACGAGGAACAAUUGGAGGGCAAGUCUGGUGCCAGCAGCCGCGGUAAUUCCAGCUCCAAUAGCGUAUAUUAAAGUUGUUGCCGUUAAAAAGCUCGUAGUUGAACCUUGGACCUGGCUGAUCUGUCCUCCUAAUCGAGCGCACGGAUUCGGUCGGGUCUUUCCUUCUGGGGAGCCCUAUGCCCUUCACUGGGUGUAGUGGGGAACCAGGACUUUUACCUUGAAAAAAUUAGAGUGUUCAAAGCAGGCCUUUGCUCGAAUACAUUAGCAUGGAAUAAUAGAAUAGGACAUCGGUUCUAUUUUGUUGGUUUCUAGGACCGCUGUAAUGAUUAAUAGGGAUAGUCGGGGGCGUCAGUAUUCAAUUGUCAGAGGUGAAAUUCUUGGAUUUAUUGAAGACUAACUACUGCGAAAGCAUUCGCCAAGGAUGUUUUCAUUAAUCAGUGAACGAAAGUUAGGGGAUCGAAGACGAUCAGAUACCGUCGUAGUCUUAACCAUAAACUAUGCCGACUAGGGAUCGGACGGUGGUUUUUUUAUGCCCCGUUCGGCACCUUACGAGAAAUCAAAGUUUUUGGGCUCGGGGGGGAGUAUGGUCGCAAGGCUGAAACUUAAAGAAAUUGACGGAAGGGCACCACCAGGCGUGGAGCCUGCGGCUUAAUUUGACCCAACACGGGGAAACUCACCAGGUCCAGACAUGCUUAGGAUUGACAGAUUGAUAGCUCUUUCUUGAUUGUAUGGGUGGUGGUGC
rnacentral:rRNA from 1 species